GUGUCAGCAGCCGCGGUAAUACGUAGGGGGCAAGCGUUGUCCGGAUUCAUUGGGCGUAAAGAGCGUGUAGGCGGCCAGGUAGGUCGGUUGUGAAAACUGGAGGCUCAACCUUCAGAGGUCGACCGAAACCAUCUGGCUAGAGUCCGGGAGAGGAGAGUGGAAUUCCUGGUGUAGCGGUGAAAUGCGCAGAUAUCAGGAAGAACACCCGUGGCGAAAGCGGCUCUCUGGAACGGUACUGACGCUGAGACGCGAAAGCGUGGGGAGCGAACAGGAUUAGAUACCCCCGUAGUCC
rnacentral:rRNA from 1 species